rnacentral:rRNA from 1 species
GAUGAACGCUGGCGGCGUGCCUAAUACAUGCAAGUCGAGCGAAUGGAUUAAGAGCUUGCUCUUAUGAAGUUAGCGGCGGACGGGUGAGUAACACGUGGGUAACCUGCCCAUAAGACUGGGAUAACUCCGGGAAACCGGGGCUAAUACCGGAUAACAUUUUGAACCGCAUGGUUCGAAAUUGAAAGGCGGCUUCGGCUGCCACUUAUGGAUGGACCCGCGUCGCAUUAGCUAGUUGGUGAGGUAACGGCUCACCAAGGCAACGAUGCGUAGCCGACCUGAGAGGGUGAUCGGCCACACUGGGACUGAGACACGGCCCAGACUCCUACGGGGGGCAGCAGUAGGGAAUCUUCCGCAAUGGACGAAAGUCUGACGGAGCAACGCCGCGUGAGUGAUGAAGGCUUUCGGGUCGUAAAACUCUGUUGUUAGGGAAGAACAAGUGCUAGUUGAAUAAGCUGACACCUUGACGGUACCUAACCAGAAAGCCACGGCUAACUACGUGCCAGCAGCCGCGGUAA